GUAACGAAUGACAGUGAGAAUCUCUCAAACCGAUUGACUAAGGGUUCCUGGGCAAGGGUCGUCCUCCCAGGGUAAGUCGGAUCCUAAGGCGAGGCUGAAAAGCGUAGUCGAUGGAAAACAGGUUAAUAUUCCUGUACCUACAAAUUGUGUGAUGGAGUGACGGAGAACGUUAUUAUGUGCCGGUUAUUGGAUUCCGGUUUAAAUAACAAGGUUAGUAAGUUGGCAAAUCCGCUUACUAUUAGGACCAAGUUAUGAAUACGAGCGACCCCUUCGGGCAGUAGCGAAGACAUAUACAUCAUGCUUCUCAAGAAAAGGCUUCUAGCGUUAAACAAUUAGUAUCCC
rnacentral:rRNA from 1 species